rnacentral:rRNA from 1 species
AUUGAACGCUGGCGGCAUGCCUUACACAUGCAAGUCGAACGGUAACGCGGGGGCAACCCUGGCGACGAGUGGCGAACGGGUGAGUAAUACAUCGGAACAUAUCCAGUAGCGGGGGAUAACCUAUCGAAAGAUGGACUAAUACCGCAUACGCUCUACGGAUGAAAGCAGGGGACAGCAAGGCCUUGCACUAUUGGAGUGGCCGAUGUCGGAUUAGCUAGUUGGUGGGGUAAAAGCCUACCAAGGCGACGAUCCGUAGCUGGUCUGAGAGGACGAUCAGCCACACUGGAACUGAGACACGGUCCAGACUCCUACGGGAGGCAGCAGUGGGGAAUUUUGGACAAUGGGCGCAAGCCUGAUCCAGCCAUGCCGCGUGAGUGAAGAAGGCCUUCGGGUUGUAAAGCUCUUUCGGUGAAGACGAAACGGUUAGCGCUAAAAACGCUGGCUAAUGACAGUACUCACAGAAGAAGCACCGGCUAACUACGUGCCAGCCGCCGCCGUAA